CCCAGCCUCCGCUGCAGCUAAGGCAUGCACAUAUGAGCUCCUUCUGGCCAGCGAGACAUAAGGGAAAGCCUUCAAAGGACUUCUAAGAAGGAUUUUCCUUGAAGAUUAAGAUCAUCACAGAGAGGUCACCCGAUGGCUGCCAGAAACCGCGGGUCGCCGUUGUGCGUCAGUUCUCCAAAGUCAACCUUGUCAUUCCACAGAUGCUGUCAGAGGCCACGUCUGAAUGCCAUGCCAAAACAACUAGCCCAGAAGGAACAUUUGGUCAAUCUGGUUUGUCAGAAAGCCAAAAAAUAAGACAUUUGUUCGAUUGAA